GCAUGGAAGAAUUCUGUUUUACUCUUGAAAUAGUAAAUGCAGUCAGACACUAUGCAAAAUUAUUGUUUUCACACACUGACUCAAUAACAGAAGAGUGCUUGUUCUGUGCCUCUUUUUUUUAUCUCAGAGUGAAUACAGCA